rnacentral:rRNA from 1 species
CCUACGGGUGGCUGCAGUGGGGGAUAUUGCACAAUGGGGGAAACCCUGAUGCAGCGACGCCGCGUGAGUGAAGAAGUAUUUCGGUAUGUAAAGCUCUAUCAGCAGGGAAGAAAAUGACAGUACCUGACCAAGAAGCCCCGGCUAACUACGUGCCAGCAGCCGCGGUAAUACGUAGGGGGCAAGCGUUAUCCGGAUUCACUGGGUGUAAAGGGAGCGUAGACGGCGAGACAAGUCUGGAGUGAAAGGCCGGGGCCCAACCCCGGGACUGCUCUGGAAACUGCCUGGCUGGAGUACAGGAGAGGUAAGUGGAAUUCCUAGUGUAGCGGUGAAAUGCGUAGAUAUUAGGAGGAACACCAGUGGCGAAGGCGGCUUACUGGACUGUAACUGACGUUGAGGCUCGAAAGCGUGGGGAGCAAACAGGAUUAGAUACCCUUGUAGUC